UCUAUAUCCUGUCACUAUCCUUAUUUGCUGUUCAAAAAACAAAAAAAGCAACCCUCUCCCAAAGAGUCUGAGGCCCCCUGUGUAACUACUGAUUCACCCUCACCUGUUGAACCAGCUGCAGUGAGUAUUCAGAGGCUGAACAUGGUGUUACUCUGCUUCCAUGGAGAGGAAUAACAGGCUUGGUGUUCUGGACUGCUAAAUAACAACGUGCUCUGCCACACUAACCACGGGCUUGUACCUCUGUCUCAAAGGGUUUCUCUAACAAUGAACAGUUGCUCUCUGGUUUUUAUGGAAUUGAGGAAAUGAGGUUUUUCUUGUUAAGGACUGCAGGCAAUCGCUUUGGAGUGACUACUGCAGUAAUCCUAAGAAGCUGACGUACCUGUGGUAUUUAAGCACAGUUCCAUGUGUAAUCCAAGGUGCCAGGCCCUUCGCCAAAGGGGUGUCCACUGAGGACAUGUCAAAAGGGAUUGGACUUUUCUCUAGUUCACCUAAAGAAACUAAAGACUCUGAAGAAAGGUGUUGUUUCAGAAGGCACGCUGAGCACUCACUCCUGGGUAGCGCAGGCAGUGUUCUGGGUGAAGGGACAGUGAUGCUGCAGUAACUUGCUCUGUUUUCCAUUGGGUUAAUGUGUUUCGGGGGGUGGUUUUUUCUUUUCUUCCCUCCCUUUCUCCCGCCUCUUGGCCCUUGGGCGAGCGGUUGUGGUGUUCAGCAGCAUCGGCGCUUCUCUGCUGCGGUGAGUACCACGCUGAGGCACUAACCUCAUCCUGCGCAGGGAAAUGCUGGUCCCAAAGGCCCACCCUCCUUCCCUGGGACGCCCAUCAUGACCUCCCCAGCGAUGGGACCUCCACCUCCGCCGCCUGUUCGCUACGGACCGCCGCCAGCUCCUCUGCGGGGACACUUUGGGCCUCGGCCUCUCCCUGUGCCCUUAGUUCGUGGUGCUCCCUUGCCUCCUCCGGCUCCGAGAGACUUCCUGCCCGGCCCGCCCUUAGGAAUGAGAGACCUUCCUCCUGGCCCCCUGCCGCCUCCAGACCCGCGAGGCUACGGCCGUGGCCACCCUCCCUUCCCACCCCUAGGGCCUCCUGGCCCAAGGGAUUAUCCUCCAGGCCCGCGGCUACCCCCGCCCGGUUCCAGAGACUAUACGCCUUCUCCUAACAGAGACUUGCCCCCAUCGGGACCUAGAGACUACCCGGCAGGGCCCCCGCCGCCCCCCCCGCCGGGCCCAAAGGACUACACACAGCCCCCGGCGCAGAAGCCCUAACUGCAGCCUCUGGUCAGCAGCUCAGCGGAACGGACUCCAGCGCACUUCCUGCAGUCAGGAUUUUAGGAAAUGGUUCUCUAUUUGAAGCCAUUUGUCUCAUUUCAGUAUAUUUCAGCUUUUGCGGGAUUAAUUUUUAUCUGAUUGCUACAGACAUCGUAUGUGCAUUUAUGAUCACCUUAAACUCAUCCAUCCUCUUGGGCUGCAAGAACCUUUUUGUGAUGGACUUGAACCUACUCUAAACGUGCAAUAGAAAGGAAGUACCUGUGUGGCUAGUUUUAAUUAAAUGUAGCCUCUGUAACCAGUUGGUGAAUGAACUAAUUUCGUGAAAAAUGUAAAUCAAAUCAUUUCCUGUGGAAAUAAUUUUUAAGUAAAAUGCUAUCCUACCUGCCUUCUCCAUCACAUCAUUAAGCUGCAGUUAUUGUAGGCCCGGGGUUUACAUGAGGACUGUGAGGUGUUCUUUUUUUUUUUUAUUUUAAAAAAGAUGUCUGGUCAGAGAUCAGAAGCACAAAUGACACUGUAUUCAAAGGAGAGUUAGAAUAAAAAGCAAAAUUCCUUUUGCUAAACCCUGAAG
ensembl:lncRNA